rnacentral:rRNA from 1 species
ACGCUGGCGGCAGGCCUAACACAUGCAAGUCGAGCGGUAGAGAGAAGCUUGCUUCUCUUGAGAGCGGCGGACGGGUGAGUAAUGCCUAGGAAUCCGCCUGGUAGUGGGGGAUAACGUUCGGAAACGGACGCUAAUACCGCAUACGUCCUACGGGAGAAAGCAGGGGACCUUCGGGCCUUGCGCUAUCAGAUGAGCCUAGGUCGGAUUAGCUAGUUGGUGGGGUAAUGGCUCACCAAGGCGACGAUCCGUAACUGGUCUGAGAGGAUGAUCAGUCACACUGGAACUGAGACACGGUCCAGACUCCUACGGGAGGCAGCAGUGGGGAAUAUUGGACAAUGGGCGAAAGCCUGAUCCAGCCAUGCCGCGUGUGUGAAGAAGGUCUUCGGAUUGUAAAGCACUUUAAGUUGGGAGGAAGGGUUGUAGAUUAAUACUCUGCAAUUUUGACGUUACCGACAGAAUAAGCACCGGCUAACUCUGUGCCAGCAGCCGCGGUAAUACAGAGGGUGCAAGCGUUAAUCGGAAUUACUGGGCGUAAAGCGCGCGUAGGUGGUUUGUUAAGUUGGAUGUGAAAUCCCCGGGCUCAACCUGGGAACUGCAUUCAAAACUGACUGACUAGAGUAUGGUAGAGGGUGGUGGAAUUUCCUGUGUAGCGGUGAAAUGCGUAGAUAUAGGAAGGAACACCAGUGGCGAAGGCGACCACCUGGACUAAUACUGACACUGAGGUGCGAAAGCGUGGGGAGCAAAC